CGAUAAAGAUUGUAAAACUUAAAGUUUGAUUCUUUCUUUAUUUUUUAUUUUUUUAUAGUUUUACAUGUAAAUUUUUGUGAAUUUUAAGUUAGGUCUUAAAGAUUUAAUUUGAUUAUUGGUUCAGUAUGUAAUUUUAAUUUAACUGAUUAUUCAGUUUUUAGUUAAUAAUUUAUAAGUGGCUAAUUUUGUGCCAGCAGUCGCGGUUAUACAUUAACUUAUAGUAAAAAUUUUCGGCUUUUAUUAAAUAUUUUAGUUUUUGAUUUUUUUUUAUUUAUUUUUGGGUGAAAUUUAAAAUAAUUAUUUUAAGAUUAGGUUUAUUAUUUAUAUUAAAAUUAUUAUAAAAACUAGGAUUAGAUACCCUAUUAUUUUAAUUGUGAAAAGUUGGCCUUAAUAUUAAUAGCUAUGUUCUUUAAACUAAAAGAAUUUGGCGGUAAUUUAAUCUAUUCAGAGGAACCUGUUCUGUAAAUGAUAAUCCACGUUUAGAAUUUCUUUAUUUAUACUUGUAUACCUCUGUCAUUGAAUGUUUUAUAAGAAUAUUUUCGUAAUUUUUUAUUAUAAAAAUGUUAGGUCAAGGUGCAGUUAUAAUAAAGUAGAAAUGGGUUACAUUAAAAUUAUUUAUGGUUAAUAUAUUUAAACUUAUAUUUAAAACUGGAUUUGAUAGUAAUUUUAUUUAAAUUUUUAUUAUGAUAUUGGCUCUAAAUUAUGCACAUAUCGCCCGUCACUCUCAUUAAUUAAAAUGAGAUAAGUCGUAACAAAGUAGGCCUAUCGGAAGAUGGGCCUAGAAUUAAUA
rnacentral:ncRNA from 1 species